rnacentral:rRNA from 1 species
UACGGGGAGCAGCAGGCGCGAAACCUUUGCAAUGCACGAAAGUGUGACAGGGGAACCCAGAGUGCUCAUGCACAGCAUGGGCUUUUGCCAAGAGCAAAUAUCUUGGAGAAUAAGUGGUGGGAAAGACUGGUGCCAGCAGCGCGGUAA